GCCUUCGUGGUGUAAUGGUAGCACACUCGGCGCGUAUUCGAGAGGUCCAGGUUCGAGUCCCGGCAAGGGCA
rnacentral:tRNA from 1 species